ACUCUAGUCCGACUUUGUGAAAUGACUUAAGAGGUGUAGAAUAAGUGGGAGCCCUCAAAGCGCAAGUGAAAUACCACUACUUUUAACGUUAUUUUACUUAUUCCAUGAGGUGGAGGCGGGACUCUGUCCCUGCUUCUAGUCUUAAGGCGCGCCCCUCGGGUGCGCCGAUCCAGGUGGAAGACAUUGUCAGGUGGGGAGU
rnacentral:ncRNA from 1 species